ACAGUCAUAUCAUAUUGAAACACCAGUUUUUGCACGAUCACCAAAGUUAAGCAACAUAGAGCCUGGUCAGUACGUAGAUGGGUGAUCACUUGUGAAUAGCAAGUGCUGUAAU